GAGAGAGGGAGGCGCAGAGGGACCAGGCAACAGCUUGUCACUGACACUGAGAGAAGAAAAGCAGGAGAAAAUAGGGAGGUCAUCACCAAACUCUGACAAUGGGAAUGAAUAAUGACAUGAGACAAUGUUUGUUGACACGGAGAACAAAAUGGCUGCACGUUACUCAUGAAUAUUUCAUCACAGGGAAAUUCGUAUUCAUCUGGAAACAAGCGUAUGGAUCUGGUCUGAUCGAAAAAAACUUUCGAGAUUAUAUAUUAGGUUAUCCCCCCCCCCCCCCCCCAAAAAAAAAAAACCCUCAGAUAAAUGUGUAGAUGUUUGAUUGAGCUUGAGCGUGAGAACAUUGAACCUGAGGACAGGAAACAGCAAUGGGGUGCCAAUACUUUUAGGGGGGGGGCCCCCGACAAUCCUCACGGAUUCUAGGAGGAGAAGAAGAAGAACCCCUCAGAGACGUGUCCUGGGAUUCUGAUCAGUCCAGAAGGUGCUGAGUCGUGAUAUUAACGCGCUCGUUCUAACACCUAAUCGUUCUCGUUUCUAUAGCAACAGCUCGUGCAGAUUUGCAGGAACCCUUGGUUCAUUAUUUUCUUUUAAAAACUUUUCGAACUUGUCAGGUGAUUAAGAUCAGGUGAUGUACACUUGUUAAAAGAGUUCACUGAGCAACUAAGGGUUCUCCAGUUCCUUAAAGGGGGUCUACUUCUGAUAAAGAACCCUUAAGGGUUCUAAAUGGAGUAAGAGUGUAGUCUAUACGAGCUCACUCACAAAAAAAAUCAUAAUUAAGGGUUCUUAACUUCCAAAAAAAAAAGUGUUCUUCUUAUAGAAGUGUUCUUCUUUCUUUUUAUUAAUAACUUUCUGAAGAUAAGAACUCUUAAUUAUCGAAUGAUUCCUGGAAGAACCGUUCGAGAACCCAAGAAUCUACUACAUACUUGAAUUUUAAUCCGAGUGUGUAAACGAAAACAAAACUCGCAUAUAAAACACAGCACUCUCCAGGUGGUGCUUCUUGAGGAACCAUUCGUCUUGAGGAACUUCGUCUUGAGGAACGAUUCUUCUUGAGGAAUGAUUCGUCUUGAGGAACCAUUCGUCUUGAGGAACCAUUCGUCUUGAGGAACGAUUCUUCUUGAGGAAUGAUUCGUCUUGAGGAACCAUUCGUCUUGAGGAACCAUUCGUCUUGAGAAACUUCGUCUCGAGGAACGAUUCUUCUUGAGGAACUUCGUCUCGAGGAACGAUUCUUCUUGAGGAACCAUUCGUCUUGAGGAACCAUUCGUCUCGAGGAACCAUUCGUCUUGAGGAACCAUUCGUCUCGAGGAACCAUUCGUCUCGAGGAACCAUUCGUCUCGAGGAACCAUUCGUCUUGAGAAACUUCGUCUCGAGGAACGAUUCUUCUUGAGGAACUAUUCUUCUUGAGGAACUUCGUCUCGAGGAACCAUUCGUCUCGAGAAACCAUUCGUCUCGAGGAACCAUUCGUCUCGAGGAACGAUUCUUCUUGAGGAACUAUUCUUCUUGAGGAACUUCAUCUCGAGGAACGAUUCGUCUCGAGGAACCAUUCGUCUUGAGGAACUUCGUCUCGAGGAACGAUUCGUCUCGAGGAACCAUUCGUCUCGAGGAACCAUUCGUCUCGAGGAACCAUUCGUCUUGAGGAACUUCAUCUUGAGGAACGAUUCUUCUCGAGGAACGAUUCUUCUUGAGGAACUUCGUCUCGAGGAACGAUUCUUCUUGAGGAACUAUUCUUCUUGAGGAACUUCGUCUCGAGGAACGAUUCUUCUUGAGGAACCAUUCGUCUUGAGGAACCAUUCGUCUUGAGGAACUUCGUCUCGAGGAACGAUUCUUCUUGAGGAACUUCGUCUCGAGGAACGAUUCUUCUUGAGGAAUGAUUCGUCUUGAGGAACCAUUCGUCUUGAGGAACUUCGUCUCGAGGAACGAUUCGUCUCGAGGAACCAUUCGUCUUGAGGAACUUCAUCUUGAGGAACGAUUCUUCUCGAGGAACGAUUCGUCUCGAGGAACGAUUCUUCUUGAGGAACUUCGUCUCGAGGAACGAUUCUUCUUAAGGAACGUGCUCCUUAUCAGGCGUAAUGGGUUUGAUGAAGGAUUCUCUUCCUCCUAAAAGGUUCUACUUCCUGACAGGGAAACGCUCUGUUGCUUUAAAAGGUUCCCUGAAGAAUUGUUUUGAGAGUUCUCUUACGAGGCAGCGCAUCUCCAAGGUCUGUGUCGAAGGUCGCGCUGUGCGGGCGAGGCGUAGAACGUUCUAAAUGUUCUAGGCAUUGUGAAAGAACCGUAGACGUUUAUGAACUCAGUCGUGAUGAGCGAGGACUGGAGCGAGGACUGGAGCGAGGACUGGAGCGAGGACUGGAGCGAGGACUGGAGCGAGGCUGUAAAUAAUUUAUCCUUACAGAAAGUUUACAGCUUUAACGCAACAAAGCAACAGAUGGAAAGGGAUUUGGGUAAUGUGAGCGAACAAUGCGACAGAUCGGGGAGUGAGACUAUUGUUGGCCGUACAGGAGUGUGUGUGUGGCCUGUCGCUCUGAGAGAAAUUUCCACUCGAAUGUUUCUUAAAAAUAAACUUCACACUUACUUCAGUAAUUAUUGUUCCUGCUUCUGUUGAAUUCUGGAUUCUGAUUGGUCGAGAAGGUGUCGUUGCUUUUCCGAACCUGCGAACCAGCUUUUAUACCGCAUCGACACGCCCGAUCAGACACGUUAUCGUUUCUAUAGUAACAGCUCGUGGUUACGGUGUUAUGAACCCGUCGCACGUAUUCAUAAAACUAUUAAAAAUAAAUAAAUAAAUAAAUAAAUAAAACAUUUACGCAGCUCUCUCACGAUGUUUAACACGAGUCAGUACGUUACAGCCGUACGCUGCUCCACUUUAUCAAGCGUGAUUAUUAUCGCCGCCGACGCAGGCGUCGUUUAGCUGCUUCAGGAUCACUUCGCUCAUCACUGCUACUAAAGGUCAUAACGCUUUAAAAAACAAACAAACAAACAUUUAAUAAAUAAAAGAACCCUAAUUCAGUACGUUACACGCACGGCGAUAAUCCGAUAUUAAUCCGAUUAAGACGAUACUCUGAUUAAGACAGCAGCAUGUAAACAGAGAUUACUGAUGAUCUUAAUCUGAUUAAAGUCACACUCGAAGUAAACACAGAUGGAAUUAA
ensembl:lncRNA